CCAGCUCCAAUAGCGUAUACUAAAGUUGUUGCAGUUAAAAAGCUCGUAGUUGGAUUUCUGGCGGGGGCGGCUGGUGGGGCCCGACAAGGGUCUCUACUGAUGCUUGCUCCCGUCAUCCUCGGGGAGAGCGGCUCUGGCAUUAAGUUGUUGGGGUCGGGAUCCUCGUCUUUUACUGUGAAAAAAUUAGAGUGUUCAAAGCAGGCUUAGGCCCUGAAUACAUUAGCAUGGAAUAAUAAGAUAUGACCUUGGUGGUCUAUUUUGUUGGUUUGCACGCCAAGGUAAUGAUUAAUAGGGAUAGUUGGGGGUAUUCGUAUUCAAUUGUCAGAGGUGAAAUUCUUGGAUUUAUGGAAGACGAACUACUGCGAAAGCAUUUACCAAGGAUGUUUUCA
rnacentral:rRNA from 1 species